GCUGGCAACCAUAUCACCCAGUAGCCAAAGACUGGUUGCCCACUGAAGCUAAGCAGGUUUGAGCUGGUUAGUACCUGGAUGGGAGACCUACUGGGAAAACUAGGUUGCUGCUGGAA
ensembl:rRNA 5S_rRNA 5S ribosomal RNA